rnacentral:rRNA from 1 species
GAUGCAGCAACGCCGCGUGAACGAUGAAGGUCUUCGGAUCGUAAAGUUCUGUUGCAGGGGAAGAUAAUGACGGUACCCUGUGAGGAAGCCCCGGCUAACUACGUGCCAGCAGCCGCGGUAAUACGUAGGGGGCUAGCGUUAUCCGGAUUUACUGGGCGUAAAGGGUGCGUAGGUGGUCCUUCAAGUCGGUGGUUAAAGGCUACGGCUCAACCGUAGUAAGCCGCCGAAACUGGAGGACUUGAGUGCAGGAGAGGAAAGUGGAAUUCCCAGUGUAGCGGUGAAAUGCGUAGAUAUUGGGAGGAACACCAGUAGCGAAGGCGGCUUUCUGGACUGCAACUGACACUGAGGCACGACAGCGUGGGUAGCAAACAGGAUUAGAUACCCUGGUAGUCCACGCUGUAAACGAUGAGUACUAUGUGUCGGGGGUAACCCCCCUCGGUGCCGCAGCUAACGCAUUAAGUACUCCGCCUGGGGAGUACGCGACGCAAGUGUGAAACUCAAAGGAAUUGACGGGGACCCGCACAAGUA